rnacentral:rRNA from 1 species
GAUGAACGCUAGCGGCAGGCUUAAUACAUGCAAGUCGAGGGGCAGCAUGGGUGUAGCAAUACAUCUGAUGGCGACCGGCAAACGGGUGCGGAACACGUACAGAACCUUCCUUCGAGCGGGGAAUAGCCCAGAGAAAUUUGGAUUAAUACCCCAUAGUAUAUUGAAGAGGCAUCUCUUUAAUAUUAAAGAUUUAUCACUUGAAGAUGGCUGUGCGGCNGAUUAGAUAGUUGGCGGGGUAACGGCCCACCAAGUCUACGAUCAGUAACUGGUGUGAGAAGCACGACCAGUCACACGGGCACUGAGACACGGGCCCGACUCCUACGGGAGGCAGCAGUAAGGAAUAUUGGGCAAUGGAGGCAAACUCUGACCCAGCCAUGCCGCGUGGAGGAUGAAGGCCCUCUGGGUUGUAAACUUCUUUUAUUUGGGAACGAAAAGGGCCUUUUCAGGCCAACUGACGGUACCAGAUGAAUAAGCACCGGCUAACUCCGUGCCAGCCGCC